AAGUCGUAACAAGGUUUCCGUAGGUGAACCUGCGGAAGGAUCAUUAGCAAGAUUGCCUCCUCGCUCAUCAUUGCCCCCUCCAUUUUGUGGAUGGUGGUGAUGGUGGGAAGGGGAAGAAAGGCAAGUGCCAUCCUUGUGUUAUGUUUUUCAUAUGUAUGUGUGUGUGUGUGUUGCGCGAUUCAUUCGCGCAUCCGCGCGCAUCACUUUUACCAUUCAACACUCUUUACCAUUCAUAUUCUGAACAAACCUUGUCAUUGCUCGCAAGAGCAUGCACAAACCAACCGAAAACUGCCAGCAAUGGAUCACUCGGUUCUC
rnacentral:misc_RNA from 1 species